AUGCAAUGGUCUCGUUUCAAAAGCAUUGGUCAAUAUGCUUGCGUUGACUUCACUGUAGCCUAUGUGCCCUGCUUCCUUUCCGUGAGUUUUGACCGAAAAAUGGAAAAAAUAAAGCGCUUCCGUUUCAGAGUCCCUGUUUCAUGUUUGUUAGCCCAGGACAUUUUACAAAUCCAGACCAAACGAUGUUCUACGACCAUGUCCGGAAUAAAGACGAGCAUAUCCAUGUCACACAGGUGUCACUGUGGCCUCAACCCUUCGCCUUCGCUUACUCUGAGCUCGAUUGCUAUGUCUGAGACUUGGCAUUCCAUAGUUUUGCUGCUCAAGAAACAUUUCUGAUUAUUAACAAUGAUGGAAACCGUGACACGUUUUAUUUUUCAGGAUUCACAGAUGAAUAGAAAGUUAAAAAAAGAACAGCAUUUAUUUGAAAUAGAAACCUUUUGUACCAUUAUAAAUGUCUUUACUGUCACUUUUCAUCAAUUUAAUGCAUCCUUGAUUAAUAAAACUAUUACUUGCUUUUAAAAGAAGUAGUGAUCCUAGACUUUUGAAGAAAUAGUGCCUAGUUAUUUUCUUAGAAAUAAACAUUACGAAUGUCUUCACUGUCACUAUUGAUCAAUGUAAUGCAUGCUUAAUGAACAAAAGGUUUGUGCAAUGAAAGUCAAUGAGGUCCAGUGUUGUUUUACUUCAAAGUAUCUUCAAAGUAAAGUCGUGCAGGCUUGGAAUAACAUCAGGGUGAGUAAAUGAUGACAGAAAGAUCAAUUUCGGGGUGAAUGGUAGGAUAAAUUCUCAAGUUUCAACAGGUUCAGAGGGACUCAUAAUUAAAUGAGAUGUAAAUUUGAAUUAUUUCAAAUGCAUGAUUAUUUAGACUACCAAAAAUGUAGGUGAGUAUCCUGAUGCGUGCCUUUACUGUGAUGUAAAUAACUUUUGUCAUGAUAUAGACUUGUGUCGUGUUGUUCACCCCUAUUUAUAACCUUUGGUUUAAAACAUUGCACUCUCUCUGGCGCAGCAAUUACAUAAAACAGGUCACAGGUCAAACAGCACCAGAUGGGUUGAAAAUAGGGGCACUUCUCCUCCGACCACCCACCGCUCCGCCUGUAAACGUGCUAAAACAUCCUGAAGGAGCGGUAAUGUGCUUUAAACACACACCUCUGCUCAUAUUAACACAUCAGACGUGACGUUUCCUGUUCUGACACACACUACACACACCAUCUCUGAUCUAUGAACACCGUGUUGAUAAUGUAAUCAGUUCAAGUAACUCAUGUCACAUGAACAGAUGACUUUUUUUAUAAGCCAAGUCAAGCCAAGUAUUUGUAUUGCUCUUUGAAUUCACACCUUCAGUUACUUUUAUUUUUGUUUGUUUGUUUAGAGUUGAAAACAUCUAAAGUGGUGCUUCAAAAUCUUCAUUUGGUUCACUCUGGAGUGUAUUUUAAAUCAGUUGAAUGAGGAAGAACUGUGGGUUUUUAGCGAUUGCUUUUAGUCCAACAUGCUUUUCUUCUUAUAUAAUAGAUUUGAAACACAUCCUGAAGGAAAAAUGCCUUCCGUUUUUUAGCGGCUGGAUCGCUGGAGGCCUCAAGUUCAUAUUUAGACUGAAGAUCAUUUGAGGAACAUCAUCAGGGGAAUGUGGAUAUGAACUUCAUGUGUUAAUAGGAGUAAUUACAGCACAGCCAGAGGCGGCCCUGUUUGCUGAGACAGGAAGUGUUUGUUUUUGCUAAUUGUUCUGAAUAAUGAUUUUUAGUAUUAUUUUUAAUUUUUGCAUAGCAGUGAAGUUUGUUUUUGAAAUUAUUUUUAUGACCUGUGCAAUUUCGCUUCCAUGCGACGGAAGCUCGUUUUCACCAUGGAAUAAAAAAUAAAAAAAAUAAUUAUGACUUUAUGUCUCACAAUUUAUUUAUUUAUUUAUUUAUUUAUUUAUUUAUUUAUUUAUCUCCUGAAUUCUGAGUUUAUAUCUCAUAUUAUUUUUUUUCUUUCACGGACUAAAAAACAAAUUAAAUUGUGAUUUUAU
ensembl:lncRNA